rnacentral:rRNA from 1 species
GACGAACGCUGGCGGCGUGCCUAAUACAUGCAAGUCGAGCGAAGUUUUUCUGGUGCUUGCACUAGAAAAACUUAGCGGCGAACGGGUGAGUAACACGUAAAGAACCUGCCUCAUAGACUGGGACAACUAUUGGAAACGAUAGCUAAUACCGGAUAACAGUAUUUCUCGCAUGAGAGAUAUUUAAAAGUUGGUUAUGCUAACACUAUGAGAUGGCUUUGCGGUGCAUUAGCUAGUUGGUGGGGUAAAGGCCCACCAAGGCGACGAUGCAUAGCCGACCUGAGAGGGUGAUCGGCCACACUGGGACUGAGACACGGCCCAGACUCCUACGGGAGGCAGCAGUAGGGAAUCUGCCGCUAUGGGCGAAAGCCUGACGGAGCAACGCCGCGUGAGUGAAGAAGGAUUUCGGUUCGUAAAGCUCUGUUGUUAGGGAAGAAUGGAUAUGUAGUAACUAUACAUGUAAGAGACGGUACCUAACCAGAAAGCCACGGCUAACUACGUG